UACGUAGGGCGCAAGCGUUGUCCGGAAUUAUUGGGCGUAAAGAGCUCGUAGGCGGUUUGUCACGUCGGAUGUGAAAGCCCGGGGCUUAACCCCGGGUCUGCAUUCGAUACGGGCAGACUAGAGGUAUGCAGGGGAGAACGGAAUUCCUGGUGUAGCGGUGAAAUGCGCAGAUAUCAGGAGGAACACCGGUGGCGAAGGCGGUUCUCUGGGCAUUACCUGACGCUGAGGAGCGAAAGUGUGGGGAGCGAACAGG
rnacentral:rRNA from 1 species